rnacentral:lncRNA from 1 species
GAGCUGGAAGGGCUGUGGCAGCAGAAACAUGAGACCCAGACCCGGAGCCAACCUGACUCCAUCAAUAUCUUCCUGCUCAGCACUUCAGAAAUGUUUCCUGUAUUAACUUCUUUGGACAGUAAUUAAGGAAGGAAGGAUAUUUUUGAAAGAGCAACUUAUAAAUGCGGAACAGAUAUCUAAAUGUGCUCUGGGUUGGACAUGUUUUACAACUAGGAUUUUCACAAGUGAAUUUUUUCCCUGUUUUUCUUGCUCUGGCCUCUCAUGGCUAUGGGGAAGUGACUUCAAGGCGUUAUGGAUUUUGGAUGUUGCCAAGUCAAUCUACCACAGAAUGUGUGGCUUUGGAGAGCAGAAAUGACAUACCUCCAUCUAUUGUCCUGAAGAGCAGUCAGUGUUUUGAAUCUCUAUGAGGGUUGGCUUCUUCACCUGCUAGGGAUAUGGCUAUCAGCAAGAGUUCAUCAGAAGGUGUUUGUAGCUUGGCUCCUUCUGAAGAUCCCAAGAUACCCAGAAGAACAAUACAAAGAGAAGAGUGGAUGGUCUGUAAAGAUGGAGAAAGAGAUUGGUCUUAUGCUGUCAUAAUCCAAGGAAUGCCAGGAGCCACCAAAAGAUGGAAAGGGCAAAAUGGGUUCUCCCCUAGAGACUUUGGAAGAAUCAUGG